ensembl:lncRNA
CACACACAGCUCCAGCACGCGGGGCCUCUAGGAAGCUCCUGAUGUGUAGCAGUUAUGGAGACCUUGUCCAAAGUGUGAGAAAAGCUGACGAGAACCAGAGAUUUUUUUUCAUAUUUCCUCUUUGCCUCAACUACGUGCUGUCAGUUAGGAAAUCCACAGCUCAGUAUUGACAUGUGUGAUUCCCAGUUUGACUUCUGCGCUGGAGUCCAACUGGAACUGUGCACCAGUGAAGGUCUGCUUGCAUAAAGGGCCUCUCUGAAAUGGGGCACUCAAGAGACAAAGGCCUGUUCAUAUAUAAAAGGGGGAAGAGAAUACUGGAACAAAGAGGAAUUUCUACUAUUUCCUGCUUUGGUAUAUUCACAAAAAUCAGACCUUUUUAGUGAAUGAAUGCCAGUAACAGAUUAUAUAUCCUUAUGUUUAUUAAUUACCUUUCCUUUCUCAUUCAAGCUUUGAUAGCUGCUAUUCUCAAAUAGGUAACAGAUAAACAUAAUGAACUCUUCUGGAUGAAGGCUGAAAGUCACAGAGCUAUGAAAUAAUGCAAUUGAAAAUGGAGGAAGAGUGGUCCCAGUGCUGUCAUACCAGCAGUGAAUGCACAUCAGACAAUGCAAAAUGCUGUACGCUCAACAGAGACAUGGUCCAUAAUACAAGAGCAUAGGAAUUUCAUUUCCAUGCAGAGCUCAAUACAAUUAAAAAAGAAAAAAAAAGAAAAGAAAGAAAAAAGAAAGAAAAAAAAGAGCGGGAUUAUAUGAGUGGUAAUUUGGUGUUAUGGAUAUAUGGAUGAGGUAUUUUCUUAGAAGCCUUAAAAUGAUGAUGAUUGCAGUUUGGUCCAUGACCCGGGGGGGGACUUCCUGCUUCUGCUGGUGAGUUUGCUUGUUUGUUUGUUAUUGCGCACAUUGCUCUAGAGAAGUAGGACUUAGCAAGAAAAAUUAACCUAUUUUACUUUAUUUUUUACUUCUAUAGCGUUGCUAUUGCAAUUCCAUAGAGUUCCAUUAUUUUCUCAUGCAGAAGCACAUUAUAACUUUUAGUUUUCAUUGUUUCAGAUGAAUGUUUAUAUUUAAAAAAUGAUAAUAAUUAUGUUUUUCACUAAAGAAAGUUGUGGGACUUCUCAUUACAACCUCUAUAAAAUGUGAAGAUUUACUCUUCAGCAUGGAGAGAGAGAGAGAGGGGCAUCACAUCCCUCUCCUGCCUUUGUUCAGGGGAAAAGAAAACUUCAUUUUUUAUAUUUUAGGAUAGUCUAUUUUAAGAACUAGUCCAUAGAAGUCCAUGGAGUUUAAUGUCAUUUCUUCAACUGCAAUGCAAAGAGAAACUGAAACAUGAAAAAAAGCACAUGCUGAGAAAUAAUAUUCUGGCAGUGGAGUUCAUUUUCAACAAAAAACAAAUAAUACUGGUCCCCUCACAAAGACUUGGUAAAUAUUAACUAGCACCCAGACGACAUAAGCAAUGACUCAGAUACACGGGAAAAAAAAGCCCCCAAAGUUCCUGUUUCACUGGAGCAUUCCAGAACCUGCUGCAGUGAACCUCAGGAAGUCAGGCCAUGUCUGGAGGGCACAGCAGCACUGUGGCCCAAUGUCCCCCAUGGCCAUCUUCUCCCUGUCUCCUCUUGCAAGUUUGGAGUGAACAACAGAAAGCAGUCGCUCCUCAGAGUGCUGUCUUUUCAGGGACUGACUGCAAGAUUUCAAGUUGUUGAUCAUACGGACUUGAUUGUAGAUGUGAGUUGCACCUUCCUGACUACAAACACUGAGCCAGGUUAAUGUCUGUACCUUAGGAGCCUUAGGAGCACAAAAAGUUCUGCUCCCCUGAAAGGGACUUCAAAGAAGAAAGGAAAAAAAAAGCCAUCGGUUCAACAAUUUACAUAUUCCUCUCACGAAAGAAAAAUGGGGAGAAACAGUACAUAUGCUUACUACCCAGCUUCCUUCCUUGUGAGGAACCUCCUCUGACUGCCAUGACCUUUCUAAGGUAAUCAAGAGUGGCUUCACAAUGACACUGACCAGCUUCCUCAGUGCUCGUGGGGAUCUCAUCAGGUCACAUGGACUUGUGCACGCACAAUUUCUUUAAAUCUUCCCUGACAUGAUCCUCUUCUGUACAGGGAUCAAGUCCUGUCUGCCACAAUCUGAUCUUUCUUAAUCAUCCUUAUCACUCAUGGCUGCAAUAUUCUUUUAUCCUAUAUAAACUUCAGACUUUCAAAACAAACUCAAUGAGGCACAGAAAUGAACUAUGCUAUUCACCAAGUAAAAAGAUGGGUUGGAGAGAAGAAAUAUUCUUGUCUGCUCAUUUGGGAUCUAUGCCAGUAGUUUCAAGUUUCUGAAUGUUAUCAAUGACUUUUCUCCAAAGUUAGUUUUGCAAGCUGAUACAGUACUUCAAUAUUUCUAUUUUGCUUAAGUGAAAAUGAAAGAAAAUAAUGUAUUUAAACCUUGGUCACCAUGGAACUUGAAAAAGUGUUGUAAAUGUGUACUUCUAUAUGUGUUUCUCACUAAAAUUAAAGCCGCAGACCCUUUAGUAGCAUUCCAUUUCUUUUCUUUUUUUUUUCUUUAUCAAAACAUUUUGUAUUUUGAGAGAGGAUACGGGAUAUGCAUAUCUUCCUUGCAUAACCUUUAAUGAGCUUUUAAACCAGCAGGGCUCUUUCAGAUACUGGCAAGCAAAAGCAGAAUUUGAGACCUUUCUACAGUUUUGAUUGAGAAGAUGUUGUUAUUUGUUCAUGGCUCCAUCAGAGCAAAAAUGGAAAAAGAAACCCAUACAUUUUAAGGAAAAAUAAACUGUCUGGGGAGGAGGAAGAAGUUAUAGUGUCUUGAACUAAAGGUUGAACAGAGCCUGGGAGCAGGACGCUCUCACCAUAUGCAGUAACUGUCUGUUCAGAUCUGGAAAAGACAAGUCCUGUACAUUCUUUGUGGGGAACUAGACAUAGGUGCUCGAUUCACUGAUUAUUAGCAGAGGCUAUUGAACAUACUUCUGACAGUGGCAACUUUAGAUCACUGCAAAGCAAGUGCAAAAAAUGUGUAUAUUAUUUUCAACUAAGUAAGGAAAAAUGACAAAUGAAUUUGUUUCUGUAAGAGAGUCUGUGAAAUUCCAAGAUACUCUUGCAUAUGAAAUCCACUUAAAUAAAGAGAAGAUACAUUUGAAGUAAAUGAUAAAGAGUGGGUUUUGUCCCUUUCCUUAGAUUUGUAGACCUGGUCAAACCCAAAUAAUGUCACACAUUUCUUUGUCUAACUUGGGUAAAGGUAUAUGAUUUGUACAUCCUGUAACCUAUACAGAGGGAAAAAAUAGAAAGAUGAUUCUUAAUAAUUCUGAUUCAUUCAAACUACCAUGUCAGAUCCUUAAGCAGUUGCUAGUGUGGACAGGGUCCAAAACAAGGAAUUCUGCAAAGUUCUCAUGAGUACCUAAAAUGGGGGAAAGGCAUUAACAGAUGGAGGAAAUGAGUCUGGAAUGAGUCUGGGAUAAAAGGAAGAGAAGAAAAAUAUGAUGGAAAUGUUAAAAGAAAGGGAAAAAAUAUGAUGGAAAAUUAUUUUGUUUAAAAGCUGGCAUUUGGUAUUUUCAAAGGGCAAAAUGUAUUUUUAUUUAUGACAAAUGAAUGUAAAAAUGUGCAUGCCUCAUGGCCUAGAGGACAAAACAGUGGGAUCAAUGCUCUUUUUGUACUCUAUGAAGCUUGAGAUUAAAGUCCCCACUGAUAAACUGAACAUUCUUUAAAAGUGACCAGAAGCAAACAGUGUCUGUUUGCUGCUACUUUAUUAGAAAGAUACCACUGAGAAUAGCUAAGAAUACUAUUUGAUCUUAAACAGGUUGACCAAAUUAUUACAGUUGGCUCCAGUACAUGAGAUGCUUUCUGCAAAUUAUUGUUUCUGGUUAUAAACCUUUAUAAUAUCUCUGAAUGAAUUAUGUAUGUAUUUCAUGUUUUCUUUUCUUUUAUCAGCCUUGAUGUUCUCAUUUCAAGUUUCACCCUAGCCUCCUAAUAAUGCAAUAUUGAGGCCAUUCAGACACUAAUUAUGCCUCCAUGGCUUUCUUGAAAUGACUAAAUCAGCAUCAGUUCUAUAAUUAUCAUUAGCAAGUUUGUAUCCGUGCCUCACAUCACAUGAAAAGCACAACUUUAAAUGAUUUAUGAAUAUAUGCAUCUGUAACAUCGAAUGUGCACUUUCUAACAGUAUGUGUACAAGAGGCGCAGAGACACUUUAGACAUAUGCACACUUGUAUAGAUGUUCUCAUCUUAUCUUCAUUUCACUCCAGUCUGUAUCUUACACAAACACAGCCUGAUUGUAUAAAGGCUAAUACUAUAUUGUUUUGUUGUUAGAGAGAUGUCUGCAUGAGAUAUGCCCAAAAUAUGUAUAUUGAAGCAUUCUGACCAGUUAGAAGUACGGAACACGAACAAGUGUUCACUGAGUCAGUCUUUCAGACUUGAUGAUUUCCUAAUUUUCUUUAUGUUUUCACAAAAGCCUAGCAAGAAUAACUGACAGGAUGGAAAGAAGUAUACAAAUGUAAUUCUUCUGUAUUUUCAUUGUUUCUCCCUUUGAAUUAUUGAUGUUGCCAGUAGUCAUUUGUCAAGAAAACAAAUCAAGAUACAUAUACUGUAGUCUUGCACUUCUGUAUGUUUGUAAACUGGUUGUUCUGCAUCAUGUUUAUAUUUUAAACAAAAUUGAAAAGAAAAAAAAAAGAGGAGUGAAUAAGAAAAGAAAAAUAAUUUCUGAUUUUUUUUUUUUAAUAAUAAAGACAUGAAGAAUAAUGAGUACCCAGAACAAAAAUAGUACAGAAAGAGAGCUUGUAGAUAUCUUUGAGUCAAUUAUACCCCCACAGAAUCAUCUGCACACGUGGGAGUUGAGAAACAAAAAAAUGAAAGUAGAUGUAUGCAACACAGCAUCUUGUGCGGCGGUACGGCACCUCACAGCUCAGUUUGGUCUGUGGUAACAACCAAUUUCUGAAUGCCUCUCCUUCCUAUUCUCCUCCCUCCCAAUAUAGAUUCUUUGUUUUGCAUGGAAAGUUGUGCUGAUCACUGGUAUUUUAUGACCUACAUUAUUACCCUCUGGGUAGCAGAAUGAUAGUGCCAAACUAAUUAUUGCAUUGUCUAAUUUUAAAUCCAGGUCUAGUGAGAUUAACAACUUGCACAUCAAUUCUGAGCAUCAACAGUGCACCUAACAUAAUGCAGUUUUAAAUGAAAAAAAGCCUGCUCUGAAAAGUUUUAUAUACUUUGGUCUGGAUCAUCAGCUAAUGUAAAUUACUACAGCUCAAUUGACUUCAGUGGACUUAUGCUAGUGCUCCUGAGUGGAUGAUUUUGUCUUCUUUUUUUAUUCAGGAAAUGUUUCUGGUUUGAGCCAUGUGAAUGUCGGAGGGGAGAACACUGAUUUCACUUAUAUAUGUGAGAUCUCAUCUGUGUAUGCCCAGAACAUGUCUGUUAAACUCAAUGGAUUAAUUCCAGAUUUUCAUCCCUGUAAAUGAGAUCAGAAUUGUCUUGGAAUGUGCUUUUGGCUCUUAGCACCCCCUCCCCCAACACAAACACUCAGUACAGAGAGGGAUUUUUCUGUUCAUCCUAAUUAAGAAAGAAAGAGAUAGAUAGAGAAGGACAUUCACAGACAUCGAAAGUGUGAAUACUUCUUUGUAGAUAGGUACAAAACCAGACUUGGCAAUGUGUCCUUACUUGCUGUUUCACCCUGUUAUUUUUUUUAUGGAGAAGCUUACGUAUUGGGAAUAAUAUAGCAGCUCCCUAUAUCUGAAUAUUGUCAUCAACCAGGCAAAUUUGGAUACAAAAUGUAGCUUGUAACUAUACCAAAAACAAAGCAAAACAAUAGCAACAAAAAAAAAAAAAAAAAAAAAAAAAAGAAAGAAAGAAAAAAACAACCAAACCAACCCAAACAAAUCAACAACAAAAUCACACACCAACAAAAAACCUGAUUCCUGAUUCUUGAAGACAGAAACAGGUCCUUAAGAAUGCUGGAGCAUUACUUAGCCAGAACACUAAAUAACAGAGUAUUUAGCAAGCACAGAAGAUAAAAGUUUUAUUUUGAAUUGAAAAACUGAGACUGAAUUGAAAAGAUGCUAAGGAAAAUUUUUAGUCUUUUCAGUUGCUCGGAAAGAAAAAAAUAUCAACAACACUCCCUCCAGUAUAACCAGUUCUAUGCCUCUUCAGCAUAACUGGUAGGAGACACAUAGUACAAACAUUCAAUCCAGAAUCCUUACAUCCCCAGAAUCGGAACCGUAGAUACCCAAAGUGGUGGUACUAAUGGCAUCCUCUGCAUAGCUGCUGAAGGGCUAUGUUGACCCCCAUGAUAAUAUUGUACAGUACUUUGACUCAUCUUUAAUUCUGAUUAAGCUGUGCAAUUUUAUCAAUUUAAGGUCAAGGUCUUGAAUAAAUUCUUUUGUGAGGACUAUUAGCAGGUCUUUUAAAAUUAAAAAGACCCGUGUGUCUAAUGGUCUUAUGAGAAUAGAAUUACAAACGAUGAUCUUUAAAAUAAAUUGUAAUUUUAUGGAUACUUAUUAGGAGAAUUUAUUGUAUUGGUAAUUUGCUAUAUCAUAAGUGCCACUGCCAGUUUAGUGAGUUGUAGCAGAAGAAAAGAAUGCAGCAGCUACUUAUUACUGUAUUUUUGUCCUUGCCUUUGGUGCUGUUGAUUUGAAGUGUGGGGGAGGUUUUUACAGGAUAUUUAAGGUUUGUGAUCUCUUACUGUGCAGUAAGGAUGACCUGCAAGUUGUCAUGUUCUGGCCCUGAUCCAGCAAAGCACUUAAGUGUGUGCUUAACUUUGAGCAUUUGAGUUCCAUUUACUUUAACGUGAUUACUCAUGUGCACAAAAUUAAGCACAUGCUUAAGUGCCUUGUUGAUUGCAGCCAAUGCUGUGCGUUCAGCAGAUUUGAACUUCCUAAGGAAGUUAGAAGAAGUACAAGUUAGGAAGAUUUAGUUAUUACAUUACAGGCAGUGGGGAAGGAUGCUGUCAUCGACAGCACCAAACCCAACUAUAUUAAUUUACUUUGUUAACUUCUUUGUCUCCUAAGUGAGACAAUGUAUUUCUUGCAAUCGAAGAACGUCAUACAGAAGAGCUGUGUUGCUCCGAUAAUCUGAGUAGAUAUGAUUGAAGUCUGAAUAGUUUUUUUUUUUUACUUUUUUUUUUUCAUAAAAUGUAAGGUUUAUUUGUCUGAUAUAUUGUUGCUUUUGAGUGCUGGAAAGGCAUUUUAUUUGGGAUACUUGAUUAAGGCUCACAAGCACAGCAUUCUUAAAGGAUGAAUCCUUAUCUAGAAUGGAUACAAAUGCUUCACUUGUUUGAAAAGCUUUAUUAGAGAUGACUGCAGACUUAUGCUGGUAAUGUUGUUUCAUGAUUUAAAUGUACCCACAUCAACAUUAAAAACAAUGUUUAAAACAGUAAGUUAUACACACUGUCUUAAUUUUAUUAUAAAAGGAAAUUUAUUCUGCAGAGAUCAAUAUCAUGAUGUAAGAGUGUUGCUUAGAGCAAGAUAUUGGUCUAAGAGUAAAGGAGCCUUUACUUGUGAAAGCGAAAGAGAAAAAGAAGGAAAAGGAAAGGAGAAAAGGAAAAGAAAAGAAGAAGAAAAAGAAGAAAAGAAAAAGAAAGAGGAAGAG